rnacentral:rRNA from 1 species
UACGUAGGGUGCGAGCGUUAAUCGGAAUUACUGGGCGUAAAGCGCACGUAGGCGGUUGGGUAAGUCGGAUGUGAAAGCCCUGGGCUUAACCUGGGAACUGCAUUCGAUACUGCCCGGCUUGAGUAUGGGAGAGGGAAGCGGAAUUUCCGGUGUAGCGGUGAAAUGCGUAGAUAUCGGAAGGAACACCAAUGGCGAAGGCAGCUUCCUGGCCCAAUACUGACGCUCAGGUGCGAAAGCUAGGGGAGCAAAC